rnacentral:rRNA from 1 species
AUUGAACGCUGGCGGCAGGCUUAACACAUGCAAGUCGAGCGAGCGGCGGAAGGGUGAGUAAUGUCUGGGAAACUGACUGAUGGAGGGGGAUAACGACUGGAAACGGUAGCAAAUACCGCAUACCAUCAGAUGUGCCCAGAUGGGAUUAUCUAGUAGGUGGGGUAAUGGCUCACCUAGGCGACGUUCCCUAGCUGGUCUGAGAGGAUGACCAGCCACACUGGACCUGAGACCCGGUCCAGACUCCUACGGGAGGCAGCAGUGGGGAAUAUUGCACAAUGGGCGCAAGCCUGAUGCCGCCCUGCCGCGUGUGUGAAGAAGGCCUUCGGGUUGUAAAGCACUUUCAGCUAGGAGGCGUUACUCGCAGAAGAAGCACCGGCUAACUCCGUGCCAGCUGCCGCGGUAAUAC